CUGAAAUUCGCUCCAGCUUCUGCUUCCCAUUCUUGCCUCCCAGGCCUGAGGGUCCCUGGCUGUUACUUGCCCGGGGGUUUGAUCAUCUUCGCUGGUAUCCCUUCGCCCCGCCCAGACCUUUGCAGUCAUUCAACUGCGUUGGAGUUGCCACCUAUUUCCUGUAGAGACCCUGCCUGAUACAACUGUGAGUGUGUGAAAUUUCUCAUGCUUUGUAAAUUCUUUCGCGUUUUCUACGUAGAAAACCGUAUCAUCUGCAAAUAGUAAUAUUUUAUUUUUUUCCUUUCUGAUUCUUACACUUUCUACUUUCCUUACACCGGCUUGUGCUCCAGAGCACUGCUGGUCUGCAGCGGCAAGAGCAGCCACCCCUGUUUCAUGCCUGAUUUUUAAAGAGAAGGCUUUUCAUAAUUCUCUACUCAUAAGAUGUUGGCUGUCGGUACAGGGAUUUCCAUCCUAAACCUUGCUUGCUAAGAUUUUAUCAUGAAUGGUUUAUGAAUUUCCUCAAAUGCUUUUUCUGAAUCUAUUAUGAUCACAGGAUUUUUCUCAAGACUACUGAUAUGAGAAACUAUCAACAUGGCCGGGCGCGGUGGCUCAUGCCUGUCAUCUCAGCACUUUGGCAGGCCGAGGCGGGCCGAUCACGAGGUCAGGAGAUCGAGACCAUCCUGGCUAACACGGUGAGACCCCGUCUCUACUAAAAAUACAAAAAAUCAGCCGGGCGCCUGUAGUCCCAGCUACUCGGGAGGCUGAGGCAGGAGAAUGGCGUGAACCUGAAAGGCGGAGUUUGCAGUGAGCGGAGAUCGCGCCACUGCACUCCAGCCUGGGCGACAAAGCAAGACUCCGUCUCAAAAAAAAAAAAAAAAAAAAGAAAGAAACUAUUAAUACAUCUCCUAGGAGCUUUUCUUACUGAAAUUAAAAAGGGAGAAGGGCUCCGGGGUGGGAUGGUUGGGCGAAGGGGGAUCAGAGUUUAAGAAAAUAAAUCCUUUCAGAAAAGGAGGCCAAAAAAGACUCCAUUUAUCGCGAUGAUGAUGAAUUCCUGAAUUCACUUGACUGUUUCCAUUUUUCUCCAUCUUUCUACCUUUGCCCCUUUUUAUUUAUAUGUAUGAGCUCCUUACAUAUUAUGAAUAAUAAUCUUUAUCAAUCAUGUAGCUUGCAAAUAUUUUACCUGAGACUGUUGAUCAUAUUUUUCUUAUUUCACUGCAUUAAACCUUUUUACCUUAACUAAAUUUGGGUAAAAUGUCUUUAUGAAAAAUGUAUCGGCUCUUGAUAUAUUGGUUUUAAAAAACAAUGUUUAAUGGCUUAAUUAAGAAUGAAUAUAUUAUUUUAAGUUUUCAUACAAUACAGAAGUAUAUCGACUACAAAAAAGAACCACUUUUACCUCCUCCCUCCCCCGGCCCCAAUCACAACACACACCCCCACAGAAAGCACUAUUACAGCUUGGUAUGUAAAUUUUAGGCUUUUUUUCUAUGCAGUUGUACAUGUGCAUUCAUACAUACACACAAACGCACAAACAGACACACACACCGGAGGUAUAUAAAUAGCAUUAAACUGUACAUAUUGCUCAAUGUGUACUUUGUCACAUAAAAAUAUGUCUUAUUAAUCUUUCCAUGUCAGUACUAAGGUCUCUACCUUAGCCUCUGUCUCACUCUCUCUUUUUUUUUUUUUUUUUUUUUUGGUUGCCCAGGCUGGAGUGCGGUGGCGCGAUCUCAGCUCACUGCAACCUUCACCCUGAGGGUUCAAGCAAUUCUCCUGCCUCAGCCUCCUGAGUAGCUGGGAUUGCAUGCGCCACCACGCCUGGCUAAUUUUUUGUAUUUUUGUAGAAACGGGAUUUCACCAUGUUGGCCAGGCCGGUCUCAAACUCCUGAUCUCAAGUGAUGAGGCUGAGUUAAAUCUUGCUACUGCUCACUCUUUGGGUCCACGCUACUUUUAUGAGCUGUAACACUCACCAGGAAGAUCUGCAGCUUCACUCCUGAAGCCAGCGAGACCAUGAGCCCACCAGGAGGAACGAACAACUGCAGAUAUGCCGCCUUAAAAGCUGUAACACUCACCGGGAAGGUCUGCAGCUUCACUCCUGAGCCAGCGAGACCACGAACCCACCAGAAGGAAGAAACUCCGAACACAUCCGAACGUCAGAAGGAACAAACUCCAGACGCGCCACCUUAAGACUUGUAACACUCACCGUGAGGGUCCAAGGCUUCAUUCUUGAAGUCAGUGAGACCAAGAAACAACCAAUUCCGGACACACUUUGAUCUGUGUUCACUGUUUUACUAACGAGAUUAAGAAUGUUUUCACAUGUAGAUUGAUUUAAGUGAAUCACUUGACUGUUUCCAUUUUUAUCCAUCUUUCUGCCUUUUUUCCUUUUUUUACUUGUAUGAGCUCCUGACCUAUUAUGAAUAAUAAUCUCUAUUAACCAUGUAGCUUGCAAAUAUUUUAUCCAGAACUGUUGAUCAUAUUUUAUUUAUAUCACUGCAUUAAACCUCAAUUUUUUUUUCUUGCGAUGGAGUCUCACUAUGUCACCCAGGCUGGGGUGCGGUGGCGUGAUCUCGGCUCACUGCAACCUCUGCCUCACGGGUUCAAGUGAGUCUCAUGUUUCGGCCUCCCGAGUAGCUGGGAUUACAGGCGUGCGCCACCACACCAGCUAAUUUUUGUAUUUUUGAUAGAGACAGGGUUUCACCAUGUUGGUCAGGCUGGUCUCGAACUCCUGACCUUGUGAUCCACUUGCCUUGACCUCCCAAAGUGCUGAGAUUACAGGCGUAAGCCACCCUGCCCAGCUCAAAUUUUUAUUGUUGGCAAAAAAUUCAAAUUUUAAAAGUGGUGCCAAUCUUUUCUAUUGGCCAGGUGAGUUGGCUUAUAAUCCCAGCUCUUUGGAAGGAUAAGGCAGGAGGAUCACUUGAGGCCAGAAGUUUGACACCAGCCUGAGUAACAUAGUAAGACCCCGUCUCUACCAAAAAGAUAAAAAAUAAAAGUUUUAAUUAGCCAGAUGUGGUGGUGUAUGCCUAUAGUUCCAGCUACUUGGGAGGAUGAAGCAGGAGGACUGGCUGAGCCCAGGAGUUGGAGGCUGCAGUGAGCUAUGAUCAUACCACUGUACUCCCACCUGGGUGACAAAGUGAGACCCUGUCUCUAGAAAAAAAAGAAAUUUAAAUCUAUUUUAUUAAUCUGUGUAUUUUCCAUUCUAUAUAAACUAGCAGAUCAGCUUGUCAAAUUUCAUAAAAUAUCCCUGUUAUGGUCUGAAUGUGGCCCCCCAAAGUUCAUGUGUUGGAAAUUUAAAGCCCAGUGCAACAAUGUUGAGAGAUGAGACCUUUAAGAGGUGAUUAGGUCAGGAGGGCACUACAUAAAUGAAUUAAUGAAGUUAUUGCAGGAGUGGGUUAGUUAUCUCAAGAGUGGAUUCCUGAUAAAAGAAUACAUUUGGAUCACCUUCCCUGUCUUACUCUAGCCCUCUCUCUUGUCCUAUCAACUCCUGCCAUGGGAUGAUGCAGCACCAAGGCUCUCACCAAAUGCUGGCACCAUGCUCUUGGACUUCCCAGCCUCCAGAACUAUGAGCCAAACAAAUUUCUGCUUAUUAUAAAUUACCCAGUCUGUGGUGUUGUUAUAGCAACAUAAAAUGGACUAAAACAAUCCCUUUGUAAUUUUUCAUGAGGUUGCAUUGAAUUAAUAGAUGAUUUAGAAAAAAAUUGACACUUUCACAAUUUUUAUUCUUACCAUCCAAAAACAUGAUAUGUGUGCUCAUUCCACUUUUCUUUUGUCUUCCAAUAAAAUUUUAUGUGUUUCUUUACAUUAGGUUUAUGUCUAGAAUUUUUCUCCCCACAGGUUUGAAAUGAACUUUAAUUAGCUUUUGUCUCCAGAAUUCCCCAUCGAUGCCUGGGCUUUAGGGUUCUCCUCACCCCCUCCAAUUUGAAGGUCCAGACUGGAAAGAAGAGACACAAGAGGGGACAGAAGAUUACCUAGCACAAAGUUGCAGGGGGGUUGUCUCCCUGGCAAGAGAUCCCAGGGCCCAAUGCCUCUCCAGCCCAGCCACAAGUACUCAGAGUGUCAGAACAUAUUUUUGUAAUGAGAAGCGUGGGCCCUGCCUCUCCCCACUCAUGGAGCAGGUGGGUGUCCUGCAGCCUUGGGGGUCACUUCAGUGGGGCAGUGGGCGUGGGCCCAGCAGAGGCACUGACAGCGAGAAGUGGCCAAAAAGAGGGUUGCACACCACCAUCUCCCUGUUCGGGGCCACGCCUGGACACCUGUACACCAUAAAGUCACUGCUUUCAUUCUCAUCUGCAGAGUCCAGCUCCUCAGGAGGCUCUUUCUGCAGCUCCAGCUGUAGUAUCUGUUAACCUCUGGUGCUGGUAGUGAUACAUUUGCACGCUGGGCACCAGCUGCUGCUUG
rnacentral:lncRNA from 10 species